rnacentral:rRNA from 1 species
GGACGAACGCUGGCGGCGUGCCUAAUACAUGCAAGUCGAACGCUUCUUUCCUCCCGAGUGCUUGCACUCAAUUGGAAAGAGGAGUGGCGGACGGGUGAGUAACACGUGGGUAACCUACCCAUCAGAGGGGGAUAACACUUGGAAACAGGUGCUAAUACCGCAUAACAGUUUAUGCCGCAUGGCAUAAGAGUGAAAGGCGCUUUCGGGUGUCGCUGAUGGAUGGACCCGCGGUGCAUUAGCUAGUUGGUGAGGUAACGGCUCACCAAGGCCACGAUGCAUAGCCGACCUGAGAGGGUGAUCGGCCACACUGGGACUGAGACACGGCCCAGACUCCUACGGGAGGCAGCAGUAGGGAAUCUUCGGCAAUGGACGAAAGUCUGACCGAGCAACGCCGCGUGAGUGAAGAAGGUUUUCGGAUCGUAAAACUCUGUUGUUAGAGAAGAACAAGGACGUUAGUAACUGAACGUCCCCUGACGGUAUCUAACCAGAAAGCCACGGCUAACUACGUGCCAGCAGCCGCGGUAAUACGUAGGUGGCAAGCGUUGUCCGGAUUUAUUGGGCGUAAAGCGAGCGCAGGCGGUUUCUUAAGUCUGAUGUGAAAGCCCCCGGCUCAACCGGGGAGGGUCAUUGGAAACUGGGAGACUUGAGUGCAGAAGAGGAGAGUGGAAUUCCAUGUGUAGCGGUGAAAUGCGUAGAUAUAUGGAGGAACACCAGUGGCGAAGGCGGCUCUCUGGUCUGUAACUGACGC